AUUUUUAAUAGCUUUUUAUAUUGUAAUUGCUUUUAUAUUCCUUUUCCAUUUUUGAGAAGUUAGCUGUACAUUAUGUGUUUUCGAUUACUAUUAUUUUUUAAUAAAUGUGUUUUUCCGCUAACAAACAGUUAUGGUGCUUAUUACGACGAUUACGUUGUGACAGGAUGAAAGAGUAAGUCUAGGUGGCGUUUGUCAUACACGGAGCACAGAGAAAACGACGGUGCUUCCUUCCUCUUCGGAACGAGGGUCGCUGCGCUAGUAGCAUCUGUGUAAUUAACCCGCAUGUCACUUCCAAUGAGCGGAAUGCUCUGCUAAUGUAAACAAAAUGGUUUAAACCGUUUGUGGCUCCGACGAAAAAACACGCCCGUUGCCGUGCCCGCGAGGGGUGCCGCGCGUCCGUCAUCAUGUGGAAGUGCCACAAGUGCGGGAAACCCGUUUACUUCGCUGAACGUAAACAGUCUCUGGGAUAUGACUGGCAUCCGGAAUGUUUACGGUGUGAGGAAUGUGGGAAGCGAUUGAAUCCCGGGCAACAUGCAGAGCACAAAGGCGUGCCUUACUGCCACGUUCCUUGUUAUGGAGCGCUAUUCGGACCUCAAUUGUUCGGCCAUGGCACAAGAGUCGAGUCGCACACGAGCUUUGGGAAAAAGGAAAGUCGACCAUCCUUACCAAGAUCGCAUUUAGAAUCCAAGCUGAAAGUUUUUAAUCAGUAUUACGAAGGCAAAAGUGGAGGAAUUCGAAGUCGUGAGGUCAAUGGAAGAUUGAUACUGGAAGGCGCAUUGAGAAUUUAUUGGGGAGUCCGUGGCGUAAUCCAUCUGAAGGAAGACGACGAUCAGCGCACAGUAGUUACUGCGCGAAAUAGAAAUUCGUGCAGGCACAGUGUUUCUGAGGAUGUCGAAGACGAAGAUAAGAUGGAUGAGAUGUCUAAGAGCACGUCGGACAGCAGCGCGGAGAAUAACGCAAAGUCUGUUCCAACGUCGCCCGAUCAUUUGAAAAGUCUCACUCUACCUAUGAAAUUGGAAGUCAAGAAUAUGGAAUGGGAUGAGCUGGACGAACUUCUGCAGGUUGAACGAAAGGUCGAGGACGGUAAUAAAUUAUAUCAGACGAUGCCGGAGAAUCUCCCGUCAAUAAGCUCGCAAUCCAGCGUGGAUACGCCACCGCUCUCGUCUCAGUCGAGUCUCGAUCGAUCCUCGGACUCCCGCGAGAACUCGGAAACGAGCAGCCCCAAUCACCAGACAACCAGCCGGGACAACGACAGUAGCCUAAAUAGCACGCCGACGCACAGCAUAGGUAGUUCUUCCAGCACAGACACCCCUGUCUGUAAUUUAGGAGCUUCUAAUCGAAACGGUACGCUUCGAAGAGUCGAGUACUUCGACAACUUGGAGAAGAGCACCGGCAGUAAAUCGAUCAGCACCGACGACAGCUGGAUCGAGAAGGGCCUGAAUCGAUCGUUGUCCGGUCCAGAUUGUCUUCAGAGACACAGAACCGACAGUGACACGGAUUCGGUGAAUUCUUUGCAAUUCAGAGAGGACGACAACAUGACUAUGUCUACAGACAGCGGAUUAGAGCUGGAUGGUGUCGUGUUGCGUCGCAAGCAAGGCUCCACCGCGAUCAGACGACGUCCGGGUGGCAGGCGUCAAUCGCGAAGCCGAUUACGACGUCGUUGCUCGAUCAACGGCCACUUUUACAAUCGAGAGACCAGUUUCUUUACACCGCCCCACGGUUCGCAGAUGUCCGUGUGGGUGACGAGUCUCGUGAACACCCAGGAAGUUAUCAAUCUCAUGCUGGACAAAUACAAGGUCGAUGCCAAGUCCGACAAUUUUGCGUUAUUUGUAGUCCGCGACAACGGCGAGCAAAGAAGGCUGAAGGACGACGAGUAUCCUUUGGAAGUCCGAGUAGUCUUGGGUCCGCACGAGAACGUUGCCCGACUGUUUCUGGUCGAUAAGCUGUCCACGCCUGAGAUCAGUUCCGAUGUCGCGCAAUUUCUCAAUCUAUCCGUAGCGGAAUGCCACGGCAUACUGCAGCGUUAUCACUACGAGGAGGAACGUCAGAUUGUCGUUUUGAAAGAGAAAUACAAAGAAAUGCGAAGAAGAAUAAAACAAAGAAUGGAGGAGCUGAAAGUUCGCUUAUAGAAAGGAUUAUGAAUGUACGCAUGGAUUGUGCGUGCAGUUAUUUUUAUAAGCACUUAAAAAAAAUUUUUUCUUCGUAGAGAGGUAUUCAUGUGACAGGAACCCUAUAACUCGUACCAUACUGAAUAGCAUUCCGAUAUCUCGAUGAAGUGAUAAAAAACAAUGAAAACGUAUUUUUCUAUCGGUUUAUAAGGGGGAUCCGUUUGACGAACGAGAAGUCAUUUUUAUCGAAUAGAUGUCGAUAAUAACUGUUAAGAAUUUAAAGUCUUCUAUCCUUUGCAUGUCAACGUGGCCCAGAUAUAAGUGGAAUAUACUUAUUACAUAUUCAGCCGUGCACAAUUGCUGUCAGAUCGCUCUGAUAUCGCAAUCCGAGACUAUUGUUGUGCGAAACAAAUUGCAGGGCGCAAAACAAAAUGCCGCACGCAGCAAUUAAUCGUCAGAAUAUUGUAACGCGCCGCGAAUCUAUGGAAUCGCCGUUUCAAGCUAGUCAUGUUUCACGCUUAGUCACUGAUAUCGAUUGCAUCCAUCCCAUUUUCACCUGGAGGCCAAAAGCGACAUAUACUGAGCCACGUUUACGUACAUUACAAACAAAAUACGUUGUAUAUGCUCUCGAUCUGCCAGUUUAGGAUAUAAUACGAGUACGCCAUUAGACGCGUAAUGAACAUAUAUAUAUGUAAUUUAGCAUAUCUAUAGAAUUGUAUUAAAGGAUUUAAUACAAUUAAAUAAUAACCUCUCGUCUAGAUCAUAGGCGGCUUUCACUAGCAGUAAGAAAGGUGUAAUCCUCAUAAUCAUAUAUCGAUUAACAGAACAGAUUGUGCAUUAUUGUGACGUUAGGGUAAGUUCAUCGGCUCGCGCCGAUCAAUCGUUUUCUAUUGCUGAUAGAUGGACGAAUAUAUACGUGGAUGUAUAUAUUUUUCCAUAUGCCGAUUAGAAAAAAAAUACUCCAAAAUAACCAUGACAUAUUGAGUGUGUUUUACCCUAGAAAGGAACAAAGUGUGAAACUGUGAAAGUAAAUAUUUGAGCACGAAAUAUUAUUAAAAAAAACCCACUGGAUUGACAUGUAACGUCGUUGACAGAAUAAUAAAGUGAUACUGGUUGCUUCUUUUAUA